GAUGAAGAACGUAGCGAAAUGCGAUAAGUAGUGUGAAUUGCAGAAUUCAGUGAAUCAUCGAAUCUUUGAACGCACAUUGCGCCCCUUGGUAUUCCAUGGGGCAUGCCUGUUCGAGCGUCAUUUGUACCUUCAAGCUUUGCUUGGUGUUGGGUGUUUGUCUCGCCUUUGCGUGUAGACUCGCCUUAAAAUAAUUGGCAGCCGGCGUAUUGAUUUCGGAGCGCAGUACAUCUCGCGCUUUGCACUCAUAACGACAGCGUCCAAAAGUACAUUUUACACUCUUGACCUCGGAUCAGGUAGGGAUACCCGCUGAACUUAAGCAUAUCAAUAAGCGGAUGA
rnacentral:misc_RNA from 1 species